rnacentral:rRNA from 1 species
GACGAACGCUGGCGGCGUGCUUAACACAUGCAAGUCGAACGGAAAGGCCCUGCUUUUGUGGGGUGCUCGAGUGGCGAGCGGGUGAGUAACACGUGAGUAACCUGCCCUUGACUUUGGGAUAACUUCAGGAAACUGGGGCUAAUACCGGAUAGGAGCUCCUGCUGCAUGGUGGGGGUUGGAAAGUUUCGGCGGUUGGGGAUGGACUCGCGGCUUAUCAGCUUGUUGGUGGGGUAGUGGCUUACCAAGGCUUUGACGGGUAGCCGGCCUGAGAGGGUGACCGGCCACAUUGGGACUGAGAUACGGCCCAGACUCCUACGGGAGGCAGCAGUGGGGAAUAUUGCACAAUGGGCGGAAGCCUGAUGCAGCAACGCCGCGUGCGGGAUGGCGGCCUUCGGGUUGUAAACCGCUUUCGCCUGUGACGAAGCGUGAGUGACGGUAAUGGGUAAAGAAGCACCGGCUAACUACGUG